UACGUAGGGUGCGAGCGUUAAUCGGAAUUACUGGGCGUAAAGCGUGCGCAGGCGGUUAUGUAAGACAGAUGUGAAAUCCCCGGGCUCAACCUGGGAACUGCAUUUGUGACUGCAUAGCUAGAGUACGGCAGAGGGGGAUGGAAUUCCGCGUGUAGCAGUGAAAUGCGUAGAUAUGCGGAGGAACACCGAUGGCGAAGGCAAUCCCCUGGGCCUGUACUGACGCUCAUGCACGAAAGCGUGGGGAGCAAACAGGAUUAGAUACCCUGGUAGUCCACGCCCUAAACGAUGUCAACUGGUUGUUGGGUCUUCACUGACUCAGUAACGAAGCUAACGCGUGAAGUUGACCGCCUGGGGAGUACGGCCGCAAGGUUGAA
rnacentral:rRNA from 1 species